UUACUUUGUUGAGUUUUAAUCGGACUUCGGUCUCACGAAAUCACGACAGGCUAGGAAGAAAAUUUGAAGAGUGGGGCUCAGAGCAUUUAUACUUGGAAGAUGCGAAAUGAGUAGUUAAAAAAAGACUUGACCAAAUUUUAUAGUUCCCUUGACCGUUAAAUCUUUUCCCAAUAUUCUAUACAAUAUAUGGGAGGGUUGAUGUACAGAGGAUGAGUUUGAAUUCACUGGUAUGACCAAAGUAUGCGGCAAUCAAGGACUAAGGCUGGAAAGAGAAGUAACGCACAAUCUAACCUUAAAGUAACGAAAAACAAGGAUGCAAAGGAGCUUAAUGAGUGGUAACGAGACUUUUUCAAUCUGAUAUUUAAAGAUUUAGGAAGCAAAUGCAAAGAGAAAGAAGAAAGGAGGUGCAGAUUAAACAGUGAAAGUGAGAAGGUACGAACAAAAAGAAAAAGAAAUUUGAACGCGUGCGUACACAAGAGAAAGAAAGAAUGAAGCGAAAAAAAUAGAAAGAGAGACACGCAAAGACGGAAAAAGGGAGAGAGAGAAAAAUAAAGGACAAUCUUGUUUAAACACGAGGACGCGCUUUUUAAACUAAUGAAUCGACAAUAAUAUAAAAGAAAAAGCUAUACGUGAAGAAACUCGCGUUUGUUCUUUAAAAAUAGCGCAACCAACAGCGAAAAUGAAAAGUUAGCUGAACAGUAGAUUUGACAAGCAGAGGGAAAGAAGAAAAGAAAUAGAGUAAAAGGAAAGUUACGGAUGCCUGCUGAAACGCGGAUUAUAUGCUAUGUGCCGGUUUGAAAUAAGAAGCAAAUCCUCUUCGUUCAAAUGUUUUCAUCUUUGGUUUCCCAUGACUAAAUCAUUGUUUAAAGUUUAUGAUAAUGUAUGAUUGGUUGUUCCGUAGUUAUGAGUCAAGCAAACUUCGUACGAUAACGUUUUCGUCAAUACUACUCAAGCAACAUGUUAGCUAGGGGUAAUUUGGCCAGUAUUUACCGAAACGCUGAUUAGUAAAUGUUCAAAACGAACACCGUCCGUAUUUGCAGAAUGGAAUAUGGCUUGGAGUGACCCCCAUUCAGUACUGCUGGGGUAUCUCCAAAAGGAAUCAAGUCGUAAGUCACUUCCCCCACGUAGGCCUGCUGGGGUUUUCAAAAAGAAAAUCAAGUCUUAGUCUAGGAAACGUGCUCUCAAGACGAAGAUUGACAAAAAAGCCCUAUGUGGGGGAUGGGAUUUACACAAGUAAGGCAUUCGAAAUUUCGGAGUCGUAGCAACUGCAGGGCUGCCUCCAGUCGCUCUGUUAAUUAGGGAGGUACGAUGGAGGGGAUUUAAAACAAGAGCUAUAAGGAGACGGGAAAAAGAAAGGAAGGUCACGUGGAAGGGUAAAAUUGAAUGUUUCGUAUAAAAAUGAAAUGGCAUAGGUUAAAAAAAAAUAAAAAAAUAAAAAAUACUCGCUGUUAAAGAUAAGUCAAGCUAACUCAUGAGAUGCUGAGAAGGUAGUUAAAACGUCUAGUUUAUUGCUUUCUUGUCCGGUUUCACACACCUCCUACAUUUGCUUUGUUUGUUAGUGUAUUUUUUGCGAUGUUGUUUCCUUACAGGCGUAAUCUGAUUGUUUAUCCCUGAUAAAUACGGGAUUGAACGUUGUGACCCCUCUAACUUUGAAUUAGCCCCACAUUUUUCAAAUAGACCAAUGCAUGAAUGCUCUCGAUCGAUAGAUCAGCUAUCUCAAUUGAUCCGCUUGACGCAAUUAAGCGCAGUAUCAUGAUCUGACCGCGCCAUGUUACCUAUAACCGUCAUAGUUGCUAUUCGGAAGUGAAAGCAAGCUGCUUGCAUGAAAACGUGCAUUUUGUUGGCCUUUUUCGUGGCCAUUGGUUUCAAGCACAAAACAGCAAAGCGUACACUACGACCAGGAGCAGCUUGAAAAUAAGCUUCAUCUGAUAGAACAAAGUUCCAAGUGUAGGAAGCAUAGAGUAAACAAUAGUAGCUAGCAGAAAGAGGGGAAUAAAGAAAAAGAAGGGGACCAUCUUUGUAGAAGCAUAGAAUGCACAAUAAACUACUGAAAGAGAAAGAAGUGUUUAGAAGAUUCUUUCCAUAAGGGACAAAGGUUGGGAUUAACACUGUAGACAUAAAUAA
rnacentral:lncRNA from 1 species